UAAAAUAAAAUAAAAUAAAAUAAAAUAAAAAGGGAAAAAAAAAGAGAAGCUGCACGUAUAACACAUAACUUAGAAGCAGCGCCACAGAUGUAUCAACACAACACACACGAGAUUGAAACAGCCAACCUCACGCACUUCUCAUGAGGAAUUCCGGAAGAAGCUUCGUGAGACCACUCCUGAGACGCUUCAGAAAAAAGAAAAACCGGUGGAAAACAGUUUAUAGCAGAGACUCCAGCAAAUUAAGAUUUGAAGAAGGAAUUCUAAUUCCGAAAUAUCAUCGGACUACAGUUUACCAAGUUACAACAGUCGCUUGACUGCAGCCAUGCUGGAGUACCACCUUUAGUCGAGCAGGACUUAUUCCUUGUAAGCCUAGUACUUAUUGUAUCGGUCUCUCUUGCCAAACCACUAACUGACAGCGAUGUAAAUACACCACCAUCGGUUGUCAAGUGAUGUUGGGGGGGACAAACACAGACACACAAACAUAUGCAUAUAUAUAUAUAUAUAUAUAUAUUAUGAUUGACCGUUGACUGAACACUAUUCAAUUUUUUUUCUCCGUGUUUUUCUCCUUGUCUCCGUAUUCUUUCUGU